AGAUUAGCUGUGCCGCACAGGCCUGGAUGGAAAGAUGCAGCAAUAAUCUGGGAUUGACUAAUCCCUCUGCUGCAGCAGUCCCACACCGGGGGACAGAGGAACGACGGGUGCUGGUCUUCGUCAUGGCUGGUUGGUGCUGAACGGCCUUUUUCUUUGCAGGGUGGUGCACUCCGGGGGAGUCAUGUGCACUACUAUCAUGGUUCUCUCCACUCUGGCUUUUGUUCUGCGCCAGCAUUUCCUCAACCGGGGCAAAACUUUUCCAGAAGACUCGGAGGAGAAGGAGAAACCAUCCGGCGAAGACACCAAAUCCUGACAGCUCAGGCGCACGCCGUCACCAGGGGACGUCAUGGCUGGACGAGAGGACAGGCAGGUUGCAUAUGCGCGUUUGCCUGAGCACUGAAGAGAUGUGCGAGUCUGGAGCAUAGAAAAGACACAAAGAGGCUUCAAAUGGGUGGUGAUGGAUCUUCCAACAGGAUCAUGACCCAAAAGCACACAGGAGAAGAAGAAGCAGAUCAAGAAUGCUUCUCUACAAAAACUAUCCUCCCUCUAAAAGUGGGAAAAGCCCGGAGAGUCUUCAACCUCGAUCCAGCCACAGCAGUCUUCUGUGAAACACGACUGCUUUUCCAUCAGACCACCGCCUCAGUAAAGAUAUGCUUUUUUUAUUUUAUGCUUUGCUUUGCUCCAGGAACAAACAGGAAACAGUCUGAAGGAGGCUGCCUGCCACAGGCGCCAACACCGUUGCAGGGAAACAGUUUUGUUUGGAGUUUAGUCUUCAUCUGCAACCCCUCCUGUGAUGACUGUCCCAUAAGCGUCUCAUGACAUUUAGAGGAGGAGAACUAUCUUGCUCCUGUGCAUCAUUACUCAACUGUCCCAGAAGCAGAGCUACAACACUUCAUUUCUCAUUAUUACGCUGACUGAGCGGAAAUAAAAAAAGGAGUUUUUUGUGUUGCUA